AUUGAACGCUGGCGGCAGGCCUAACACAUGCAAGUCGAGCGAGCGGCGGACGGGUGAGUAAUGUAUGGGGACUGCCCGAUAGCGGGGGAUAACUACUGGAAACGGUAGCUAAUACCGCAUACCAUCGGCUAACCCCUAUGGGAUUAGCUGGUAGGUGGGGUAAUGGCUCACCUAGGCGACGAUCCCUAGCUGGUUUGAGAGGAUGAUCAGCAACACUGGAACGGGAACACGGCCCGGACGCCUACGGAGGCAGCGGGGGGGAAUAUUGCACAAGGGGCGCAGGCCUGAUGCAGCCAUGCCGCGUGUAGGAAGAAGGCCCUAGGGUUGUAAAGUACUUUCAGUCGGGAGGCGUUACCGACAGAAGAAGCACCGGCUAACUCCGUGCCAGCAGCCGCGGUAAUUC
rnacentral:rRNA from 1 species